UCCUACGGGAGGCAGCAGUGGGGAAUAUUGCACAAUGGGCGCAAGCCUGAUGCAGCAACGCCGCGUGAGGGACGAAGGCCUUCGGGUUGUAGACCUCUUUUAGUAGGGAAGAAGCGACUGGGUUUUCCUGGGAGUGACGGUACCUGCAGAAAAAGCACCGGCUAACUACGUGCCAGCAGCCGCGGUAAUACGUAGGGUGCAAGCGUUGUCCGGAAUUAUUGGGCGUAAAGAGCUCGUAGGCGGUUUGUCGCGUCCGCUGUGAAAACCCGAGGCUCAACCUCGGGCCUGCAGUGGGUACGGGCAGACUAGAGUGCGGUAGGGGAGAUUGGAAUUCCUGGUGUAGCGGUGGAAUGCGCAGAUAUCAGGAGGAACACCAAUGGCGAAGGCAGAUCUCUGGGCCGUAACUGACGCUGAGGAGCGAAAGCAUGGGGAGCGAACAGGAUUAGAUACCCUGGUAGUCCAUGCCGUAAACGUUGGGAACUAGAUGUGGGGACCAUUCCACGGUCUCCGUGUCGCAGCUAACGCAUUAAGUUCCCCGCCUGGGGAGUACGGCCGCAAGGCUAAAACUCAAAGGAAUUGACGGGGGCCCGCACAAGCGGCGGAGCAUGCGGAUUAAUUCGAUGCAACGCGAAGAACCUUACCAAGGCUUGACAUAUACCGGAAACGGCUGGAAACAGUCGCCCCGCAAGGUCGGUAUACAGGUGGUGCAUGGUUGUCGUCAGCUCGUGUCGUGAGAUGUUGGGUUAAGUCCCGCAACGAGCGCAACCCUUGAUCUUAGUUGCCAGCAUUCAGUUGGGCACUCUAAGGUGACUGCCGGUGACAAACCGGAGGAAGGUGGGGAUGACGUCAAAUCAUCAUGCCCCUUAUGACCUGGGCUACACACGUGCUACAAUGGAUGGUACAAAGGGCUGCGAUACCGCAAGGUGGAGCGAAUCCCAAAAAGCCGGUCUCAGUUCGGAUUGAGGUCUGCAACUCGACCUCAUGAAGUCGGAGUCGCUAGUAAUCGCAGAUCAGCAACGCUGCGGUGAAUACGUUCCCGGGCCUUGUACACACCGCC
rnacentral:rRNA from 1 species